UAUUAUUGUAAGUAAUGUCAUGUUGGUUUGGGCUUGAAUAAUUUGUUCAUAUGGAACUUGAAUGGAAUGAUAAGGAGAAGGUAGGUACUUUCUCAUGUAUAUUUGCCACAUGGAUAUGAACUUGAACAUAGUCUUUGAACUUUCUAUGCUCCACAACGGCAGGAGCUUUGUGUACCAAACUUUUUUUUCGCCUUUUGUUAUGUUGACCAGUUUGGAACCUUUAUGCUCAGGAUUAUGAUAUCUGCUCUUUCAUUUCUUCUUGGUUAUGAAUGAGUCAAAGAAGAGGAUCACACUGGAGACUCAAGCAAUAGAGGUGAUGCACUAUUCAUCAGCCUGUUACUGUUAGCUGAGAGGUCAUUUACAAGGUCUUGCACACAUAAGUAGUUUUAAGUUUUAUUCUUUUGUAUAUAAUUGUCCUUACUAGUGUUUGAAUUUAUGGUUUUACAAUUAUGUAAAACUGCUGAUGUGUUUCCCAAUUUUUAGUAUGACAACGUAGACUUGCAGGAGUAGGAGCAGCUAGGGCAGUGAGGCAAACAGUUUCUGCGGAGGAAAGCAUGGUAGUGACAGAACACAGCUUAGUCUGUUGCAGAUGUGAAGAAAUGAAAGAAGAACUGGAUGUGGAGAGCUCAUCGACUGCAUUGUGUACAAUCCACUGCAUCUCAUUUGUAUCAGUCUUGGAAAAUAAUUCUAGUCAUAGCAGGCAAGCUUUUCAUUUUCAAAUAUUAAAUUCCAGUUAGACUGAAUUAUCUUUUCUGAAACACAAAUGUGAUCUAUGGAGAACCAGUCAUCUCCCCUUAUCAUCUGCCCCACCUCAUUGCAAUUGGAUGUCUUCUUUUCUACAGGAGAUCAACAAUUACUGCAAUCAUAUUCGUGUUUUGGCUCCAGAGAAGCUGGGUUGGUUGAUGUGUUCUUCAAUAGCUUGCAAUCAUCACCAUAUAAGAACCACACGGUUGAAGCCUAUCAAGCUUUGUCUCACAGGCGUUCCCCAGGUUGUUGCUACUUUCUAAUCUGGAAUCCUGCAGCAAUACCCAAUCCCAUUCUGUGAAAGGCUUCAAAGUCCUUGAAGAAACAAACCAUUCCUUCAGCUGUCCUCGAUCUAUGAACACCUCUUUCUGUGUACUUGCAUCAUGAUUUUGAAGCUUAUCACUUCUUUCCUUGUGACAAGAAGAAGAUGCUGCAGAUGAACUUACCACAUCUCUCUCUCUCUCUCUCUCUCUCUCUCUCUCUCUCAUAAAUAAAGAUCUGACUUGGUU